rnacentral:piRNA from 1 species
UCAAUAAAUGUUUGUUGGGUAAAGGGGUCA